rnacentral:rRNA from 1 species
GAUGAACGCUGGCGGCGUGCCUAAUACAUGCAAGUCGAGCGAAUGGAUUAAGAGCUUGCUCUUAUGAAGUUAGUGGCGGACGGGUGAGUAACACGUGGGUAACCUGCCCAUAAGACUGGGAUAACUCCGGGAAACCGGGGCUAAUACCGGAUAACAUUUUGAACCGCAUGGUUCGAAAUUGAAAGGCGGCUUCGGCUGUCACUUAUGGAUGGACCCGCGUCGCAUUAGCUAGUUGGUGAGGUAACGGCUCACCAAGGCAACGAUGCGUAGCCGACCUGAGAGGGUGAUCGGCCACACUGGACUGAGACACGGCCCAGACUCCUACGGGAGGCAGCAGUAGGGAAUCUUCCGCAAUGGACGAAAGUCUGACGGAGCAACGCCGCGUGAGUGAUGAAGGCUUUCGGGUCGUAAAACUCUGUUGUUAGGGAAGAACAAGUGCUAGUUGAAUAAGCUGGCACCUUGACGGUACCUAACCAGAAAGCCACGGCUAACUACGUGCCAGCCGCCGCUGUAA